GACGAACGCUGGCGGCGUGCUUAACACAUGCAAGUCGAACGGAAAGGCCCUGCUUUUGUGGGGUGCUCGAUUGGCGAACGGGUGAGUAACACGUGAGUAACCUGCCCUUGACUUUGGGAUAACUUCAGGAAACUGGGGCUAAUACCGGAUAGGAGCUCCUGCUGCAUGGUGGGGGUUGGAAAGUUUCGGCGGUUGGGGAUGGACUCGCGGCUUAUCAGCUUGUUGGUGUGGUAGUGGCUUACCAAGGCUUUGACGGGUAGCCGGCCUGAGAGGGUGACCGGCCACAAUGGGACUGAGAUACGGCCCAGACUCCUACGGGAGGCAGCAGUGGGGAAUAUUGCACAAUGGGCGGAAGCCUGAUGCAGCAACGCCGCGUGCGGGAUGACGGCCUUCGGGUUGUAAACCGCUUUCGCCUGUGACGAAGCGUGAGUGACGGUAAUGGGUAAAGAAGCACCGGCUAACUACGUG
rnacentral:rRNA from 1 species